rnacentral:piRNA from 1 species
UAGAGAGUGUGCAGGUAGA